rnacentral:misc_RNA from 1 species
GAAAUGCGAUAAGUAGUGUGAAUUGCAGAAUUCAGUGAAUCAUCGAAUCUUUGAACGCACAUUGCGCCCUUUGGUAUUCCAAAGGGCAUGCCUGGUCGAGCGUCAUUUGUACCCUCAAGCUUUGCUUGGUGUUGGGCGUCUUGUCUCUAGCUUUGCUGGAGACUCGCCUUAAAGUAAUUGGCAGCCGGCCUACUGGUUUCGGAGCGCAGCACAAGUCGCACUCUCUAUCAGCAAAGGUCUAGCAUCCAUUAAGCCUUUUUUUCAACUUUUGACCUCGGAUCAGGUAGGGAUACCCGCUGAACUUAAGC